GGCGUGCCUAAUACAUGCAAGUCGAACGCACUCUCGUUUAGAUUGAAGGAGCUUGCUCCUGAUUGAUAAACAUUUGAGUGAGUGGCGGACGGGUGAGUAACACGUGGGUAACCUGCCCUAAAGUGGGGGAUAACAUUUGGAAACAGAUGCUAAUACCGCAUAAAACCUAACACCGCAUGGUGUAGGGUUGAAAGAUGGUUUCGGCUAUCACUUUAGGAUGGACCCGCGGUGCAUUAGUUAGUUGGUGAGGUAAAGGCUCACCAAGACCGUGAUGCAUAGCCGACCUGAGAGGGUAAUCGGCCACACUGGGACUGAGACACGGCCCAGACUCCUACGGGAGGCAGCAGUAGGGAAUCUUCCACAAUGGACGAAAGUCUGAUGGAGCAACGCCGCGUGAGUGAAGAAGGUUUUCGGAUCGUAAAACUCUGUUGUUGGAGAAGAAUGUAUCUGAUAGUAACUGAUCAGGUAGUGACGGUAUCCAACCAGAAAGCCACGGCUAACUACGUG
rnacentral:rRNA from 1 species